AUGGGAGGCAAGAAGAAGGGGAAGAUCGAGGAUCUGAUGAAGGAACUGGCCUUGCAGGAGGAUGAUCUUGAUGAUGUUGUUUUUGAGGAAUCUGAUGCCCCGGCGGAGGAGGACCUUCGAUGGAUGAUAUUGGUUCGGGUGCAUAUGGAUAAAGGAUUCAACGCCUACUGGUUCUUUCGUAAUAUGAGAACUGCUUGGGACCUAGCAAGGGAGGUAAAGGUCAAAACCCUAGAAGAAAAUCUCUUCCAGAUGCAAUUCAAUUGCUUGGGUGAUUGGGAAACAGUAACUUAG
rnacentral:rRNA from 1 species